rnacentral:rRNA from 1 species
UACGGAGGGUGCAAGCGUUGUCCGGAUUUAUUGGGCGUAAAGAGCGUGUAGGCGGUCCGGUAAGUCAGCUGUGAAAGUCAAGGGCUCAACCCUUGAAAGCCGGUUGAUACUGUCGGGCUAGAGUCCGGAAGAGGCGAGUGGAAUUCCCGGUGUAGCGGUGAAAUGCGCAGAUAUCGGGAGGAACACCAAUGGCGAAGGCAGCUCGCUGGGACGGUACUGACGCUGAGACGCGAAAGCGUGGGGAGCAACAGG